GCGUUUGGAAGCAGGGCCUGUGCACCCCCUUGUGUCACCUGGGUGGUAUGAGCUGCCAGCAUUCCUUCCUUGCAUAAAAAUAGAUCUUCCCAAAGCUGAGGAGAAAGAUGGCUUUGCAAAGGACACUGUGAUGGAUAUCAAAACACACAAAAGAGUAAUUUGUAAUUUGUCUUUAUAUCUCUAGGGAUUUUUGUACCAUGAAGUGAUCUUGACUUUUGGUACAUUAUUAGAUAACAUUCUCUUUUUAUCUUACCCCAUCUUUUCUAUAAUAUCAUUUUGUAUAAUUAAAAAAAAAUUAACAGUAACAUACUCAUUAUACAAAAUACAGAAAGUAUAAAAUAAUUAUUAUAACAAAGAAGAUGAUUAUAAGCAUUUUGAUGUGUUUUCCUCUAGUUUUCUUUCUCUCUCUCUCUCUCUCUCUCUCUCUAUGUAUAUAUAUAUAUAUACAUAUAUAUAUAUAUAUAUGUGUGUGUGUGUGUGUAAUUUAUAUAGCAGAUAGGAUAUAGUGUUUGGGGGUUGAUUUCUUUCUUUCUUUCUUUUUUUUUAACUUGACAUUGAAUUCUCACUAUAGGAAAGUCAGUUUCUGUAUCUCUCAGGCUCCAUGCUGAAUCUCUAGUACCCAGCAAAAUACAUGGCAAGUAAUAAACUCCUGACAAAUAGUAAUUCAAUUGCUGAAUCUUUAUCUUGUUAUUUAUGUAACCAUUCCCAUUUUCCAGUUUGUUCACUAUUGUAAACCACAUAAUGAUGAGCUUCCUUGUGCAUACAUAAAUCUUUUUCCACCUUUCUGAUUUCUCCGUCAUGAUAUAUUUCUCAAAUGUAAUGAUUAGAUCAAAGGGAAUAAGAAAUACCAAUUACAUGUUGCCUGACUGCCUUCCAAUUCACACGGCCAUCAGCAG
rnacentral:lncRNA from 1 species